GAGGACAGAACCUUGCGUUUAAAGGGCCUCCACUCAGGAGUGGGCUGGGGCUGUGGGGGAGGCUGAGUGGGGACCUGUGGGCUCAGUGGCCUCUUGCGCACUAAACUCUCUGUGGGCAUCACUGCAGCCCCUCACCCAGCACCCUGCCCCUCGCCUGGACCCUGCAGGGCCACCCUCUGGGCCAGCCUCCCAUCCUUAACCCUUCCCAUUGCACCCAGCAACCCUCCGAGAUCAAUCCCCAGUCACAUCUGCUCACCUGCCCUGCUCAGAGACCAUGAGAACCUGGCACCCAGAGACCGCCAGCCUGUCCCCACCAGCACUCUUCCUCCUGACUCACCUCGGGUCAGCCUGGUGUCCACAGCCGCAGCCUGUGAGUGCCCUCAGGGCAGCCGAGGCCUUGAUCCAGCCUCAGCUGGCCUGUCCCUCCAGACCACGGGGCUCCCACAGGCAUUCCGGAAGUCUUCAGAGCCCAGGUGUGGCUUGCAAGGAGCCUGGCAGCCAGAGAUGGCCUCAGGGAAAGAAAGGUUCUGGCUCAUAUCACCUCCUUCAGGAAGCCCACCUGGCCUGCUCCGUACCUGAGAGCCUCCCAGGCCUGGCUGGCACCCCCAUCAGAAGUCAUCUGUUUGGAUAUGGUCCCUCCAUUGCCUUCCAUGGGCUCCCAUGUGUCCUGGUGAUGACCUCAGGCUGCACAUGGUCCCAUGUCCAGGGCCCUGCCCCUCGGGGCCACACCCUCUGAGCAGCCCAGGCUCCAGCUCCCUCCGCUGAGAUUCCUAGCCAGGUGGCCCCCCGACACCAAUUCUCAAGGCAGGCGCAGGUCAACUUCAGCUCAGCCUGGUGGGCUCCGGCCGCAUGAUGGUCCUGAAUGGCAGCUCAGCUAUCAAUAUCAUUGUGUGACUACAAGAGGAAGAAACAGUUCAUCCUGACAUGCUCAUUCUGCAGACCGCCACUGAGCACCUCCUGGGGACCAAGCCUCAGCUGGCUAGUGGCCUCUAAACCAAGCUGUAUCAGUCAGGGAGACAUCUAAGCUGUUGCAACAAAGCACCCCCAAAUACAGUGGCUAAAACAAGACAGAA